CUACCCGAGUGAUCCCGGGCCAGGGCCCCGCAUGUGAGAGCAACUUCACCGUAUCGUUCUUCAUCCUAGCAGAACACAGCGCUAAUCCUCCAGCUCCUAGUGAUUAUGAUGUCUUCUUUAGUACCAUCCCUGCUCAUCGUGCUUACGUCAAAUCCUUUGGUAGUUUCGCGUCUCAAGAUGACUGGAUCCAGGCAGGUGCUGAAUUAGGCCGUGCUCUCGACGCGUCACACUCAUACGAUAGUUCUUACUAUUACACGGCUGGUUAUGACAGUCCUUUCACCAUUUUUAACCGACACAACAAGGUCUGGUUCGUCGCAAACUAAAGACUAACUUCAGUCAAAUGUUUAUCAAAGAACUGUUCUUAGUUUAUUGUUUUAUUUCUUGUAUACAGUUAUUCUCAACCAUCAUAGUGAUUACGUAGUGAACAUCGGGUACCAUAUAAACGUUAUGAAUAACGUGUAAAUAGAAUUAUAUAAUAAAUCUAUGAAUACCAAAA